GUGGGGAAUAUUGCACAAUGGGGGAAACCCUGAUGCAGCGACGCCGCGUGAGUGAAGAAGUAUUUCGGUACGUAAAGCUCUAUCAGCAAGGAAGAAAAUGACGGUACUUGACUAAGAAGCCCCGGCUAACUACGUGCCAGCAGCCGCGGUAAUACGUCGGGGGCAAGCGUUAUCCGGAUUUACUGGGUGUAAAGGGAGCGUAGACGGUAUGGUAAGUCAGAUGUGAAAGCCCGGGGCUCAACCCCGGGACUGCAUUUGAAACUAUCAGACUAGAGUGCAGGAGAGGUAAGUGGAAUUCCUAGUGUAGCGGUGAAAUGCGUAGAUAUUAGGAGGAACACCAGUGGCGAAGGCGGCUUUCUGGACGGUGUCUGACACUGAGUCGCGAAAGCCAGGGGAGCGAACGGGAUUAGAUACCCGGGUAGUCC
rnacentral:rRNA from 1 species